rnacentral:rRNA from 1 species
UACGGAGGGAGCUAGCGUUAUUCGGAAUUACUGGGCGUAAAGCGCACGUAGGCGGCUUUGUAAGUAAGAGGUGAAAGCCCAGAGCUCAACUCUGGAAUCGCCUUUUAGACUGCAUCGCUUGAAUCAUGGAGAGGUCAGUGGAAUUCCGAGUGUAGAGGUGAAAUUCGUAGAUAUUCGGAAGAACACCAGUGGCGAAGGCGGCUGACUGGACAUGUAUUGACGCUGAGGUGCGAAAGCGUGGGGAGCAAACAGG